CCCUUAGAUGUUCUGGGCCGCACGCGCGCUACACUGAUGCAUUCAACAAGCCUAGCCUUGACCGAGAGGUCCGGGUAAUCUUUGAAACUGCAUCGUGAUGGGGCUAGAUUAUUGCAAUUAUUAAUCUUCAACGAGGAAUGCCUAGUAAGCGUGAUUCAUCAAAUCGCGUUGAUUACGUCCCUGCCCUUUGUACACACCGCCCGUCGCUCCUACCGAUUGAAUGGGUUGGUGAGGAGCUCGGAUUGGCAGCAGUUGGUGGUUCGCCACCGGCUAUUGCUGAGAAGUCCUCCAAACCGCCCCAUUUAGAGGAAGGAGAAGUCGUAACA
rnacentral:rRNA from 1 species